UUAGCUAGUUGGUGGGGUAAAGGCCUACCAAGGCGACGAUCUAUAGCUGGUCUGAGAGGACGAUCAGCCACACUGGGACUGAGACACGGCCCAGACUCCUACGGGAGGCAGCAGUGGGGAAUAUUGGACAAUGGGCAGAAAGCCUGAUCCAGCAAUACCGCGUGUGUGAAGAAGGCCUUCGGGUUGUAAAGCACUUUCAAUUGGGAGGAAAACCUACCGGYYAAUACCCGGUAGCUUGACAUUACCUUUAGAAGAAGCACCGGCUAACUCC
rnacentral:rRNA from 1 species